UCCCAGGAGCAGAUGGGGAAGAAUCCUCUCCCUCAGCUUGCUGCUCACGCUCCUUUUGAUGCAGCCCAGCACACGGGUGGUUUCUGGGCUCAAGCACACAUUGAAGCAGCUCAUGUGCAGUUUC